rnacentral:RNase_P_RNA from 1 species
GGAGUCGGCCAGACAAUCGCGCUUGAUUCAAGCGAGGAAAGUCCGGGCUCCGCAGGGUAGGACGCCAGGUAACGCCUGGGCGGCGCAAGCCGACGGAAAGUGCAACAGAAAGCAUACCGCCGAUGGCCUCAUGGCACAGGUAAGGGUGAAAUGGUGCGGUAAGAGCGCACCGCAUGACUGGCAACAGUUCAUGGCAAGGUAAACCCCGUCCGGAGCAAGACCAAAUAGGGAUGCGUCAUGUGUGACCCGCACUGCAUCCGGGUAGGUCGCUAGAGGGGUCUGGCGACAGGCCUCCCAGAUGAAUGAUUGUCCACGACAGAACCCGGCUUAUCGGUCGACUCCCUGU